GUGAAGGAGCAGCUCAUUAUAAUAACCACAGCCGAUUAUGUCUGAUGUAAACAAGUGGUAGAAUUUGAAAGUGUGCAAUUUUACAAUUCUGGGGAAAGGGGCGGAACUUCCUCAUACCCUUAUGAAUAUAUAUAACGACUACUUGAACUCCAAAGCCAUUGUAGAAGUUGCAGCAGAGGAAUUCUUGUCCUGUAAAUUGAUCACCGUUACAGUCUUCAGUGUUCAAACUUUAAACUAAGGCCAUGAAGUUUGGAGACCUCAUUUCAUUCUCUCGUCCUUUGGGUACAAACACUGGGGAGUGUACAAUGGGAAAGAAAAUGGAAAAGAUACAGUUGUGGAGUUUUCUGGUGAAAGUGGAUUAGACAGUAAAGCAAACGCCACUGUG